rnacentral:rRNA from 1 species
CGGCAACAGCUCAAAUUUGAAAUCUGGCCUCUUUCGGGGUCCGAGUUGUAAUUUGUAGAGGAUGUUUUGGGUACCGCGCUGGUUUAAAUUUCUUGGAACAGGACGUCACAGAGGGUGAGAAUCCCGUAUGUGGUCGCCGAUCUUCGCCAUGUAAAGCCCCUUCGAC